UCGAGAAUCUUCGGCAAUGGGCGCAAGCCUGACCGAGCGACGCCGCGUGUGGGAUGAAGGCCCUCGGGUUGUAAACCACUGUCAGAGGGGAGGAAAUUCUACGGGGUUCACCUCGUAGUUUGACCUAUCUUCAGAGGAAGUACGGGCUAAGUUCGUGCCAGCAGCCGCGGUAAGACGAACCGUACGAACGUUACUCGGAAUCACUGGGCUUAAAGGGUGCGUAGGCGGUCCGGUAAGUCGGGUGUGAAAUACCUCAGCUCAACUGAGGAAUUGCGCCCGAAACUGUCGGACUUGAGGGAGGCAGAGGUGGGCGGAACUUAGGGUGGAGCGGUGAAAUGCGUUGAUAUCCUAAGGAACACCAGUGGCGAAAGCGGCUCACUGGGCCUUUUCUGACGCUGAGGCACGAAAGCUAGGGGAGCGAACG
rnacentral:rRNA from 1 species